CGCGUAGGUGGUAGUGCAAGUCUGAGGUGGAAUCCCAGGGCUUAACCCUGGAACUGCCUUGGAAACUGCACUACUUGAGUCAGUGAGGGGAGGGUAGAAUUCCUGGUGUAGCGGUGAAAUGCGUAGAUAUCAGGAGGAAGGCCGGUGGCGAAGGCGGCCCUCUGGCGCUGAACUGACACUGAGGCGCGAAAGCGUGGGUAGCAAACAGGAUUAGAUACCCUGGUAGUCCACGCCCUAAACGGUGGGUACUAGGUGUAGGGCUCGUAAGGGUUCUGUGCCGAAGCGAAAGCAUUAAGUACCCCGCCUGGGGAGUACGGCCGCAAGGUUGAA
rnacentral:rRNA from 1 species